AUACUACAUGAAGCGGUCAAUGC
rnacentral:siRNA from 1 species